ensembl:lncRNA
UGGAAAAACGGGAUCCCCUGGAAUUCCGUGUUGCUUUUCCUUAGGAACAACCCCAAACCCCGCCCACCCCAUGGAAUUCCAUCCCAAAUUCGGGAAUUCCUUCCCCCAAAAUCCCACAGAACCUCUGGCAGCUCCUCCUUUCCUACAUCCAAAUAAAAUCCUUUAUUUCCCUUGGAUUUGAGACCACCUGGAAUUAUUCCAAAAGCUCCUUUCCCAGGAAUCCCAAAUCCUCCAUUCCUUGGGAAUUCCCUUGGAUUUGGUUUUUUUCCCCAGAAUUUUUCCCUCCUUUUCCAGCUGGAACUCAAAGAUUUAAGGCUGGGAGGGAUUUUUCCCAAAUUUCCCUGAAUUCCUGCUCCUUUUCCUGGAGGAAAAUUAGGAAGGAGAUGCCCCAAAAAAACCUGGAAAAGGGAAAUUCCUGAUAAAAAAGAAGCAAGAAAUGUUCCUGGAUUUUUCACAAAUCCUGGAAUUUUCUGGAGUUUUUUUCCUGGAUCUUUCCAAAUCCUGGAGAUUUUUCCCAGAUCUCUCCAAUUCCUUGAACUUUCCGGGAGAUUUUUCCCAGGUUUUUCCAAAUCCUGGAACUUUCCUGGGGCUUUUUCCUGGAUCUUUCCAAACCCUGGAGAUUUUUCCCAGAAUUUCCCAAAUCCUGGAAUUUUCCUGGAGCUUUUUCCUGGAUCUUUCCAAACCCUGGAGAUUUUUCCCAGAAUUUCCCAAAUCCUGGAACUUUAUUGGAGAUUUUUCCCAAAGUUUUCCAAAUCCUGGAGAUUUUCCAAGAUUUCUGCAAAUCCUGGAACUUUCCUGGAUCUUUUUCCCAGAUUUUUCCCAAAUCCUUUUGGUUUUUUUCCCAGAUUUUUCCAAAUCCUGGAACUUUCUUGGAGAUUUUUCCCAAAUCCUGGAGAUUUUUCCCAGAUCCUGGAACUUUCCUGGUGUUUUUUCCAGAUUUUUCCAAAUCCUGGAGAUUUUUCCUAGAUUUUUCCAAAUCUUGGAGUUUUUCAUGGAUUUUUCCCAAAUCCUGGAGAUUUUUCCCAGAUUUCUUCAAAACCUGGAGUUUUUCCCUGGAUUUUUCCCAAUCCAGCUUUUUUUGAGCUCUCUCUGCUGCUUCCAGGGAAAUUCCAGAGCUUGGGAAUUUCCUUUUCCUGCCCUUUCCAGAUCCAGGAAAAUCCACAAUCCCACAGGAUGGGGAAUGGGAUCUGAAUCCCUGAAUUUCCCUCAAAAUCCUGGAAUUCCCGAGGCAAAAUUCCAUCCAAAUUCCACAACCUGGCCUUGGACACUUCCAUGGAGCCGGAAAAAUCCCAAUCCCAAUAAAAACCCCAAGGAAAAUCCAGGAUUUUUCCACUUUAUUCAUCAAUUUCUCUCAUUCUUGGUGUUUAUGAGAAUGUUUUUCCCAAAUUUCCAAGGGUUUUCAUCCCAAAUUUCCUUUUCCUGGUUAAAUAUUUAUGGAUUUGCACAAUUUCUCUAAAAUCUGAUUCAGCUCCUGGAAAUCCAGGCUGGAAAAAUAUGGAAAAAAAUCCCAGGAAAAUCGGGAUUCAAAGGAAUCAGGAAUUCCUGAUUUUCCUCAUUCCCAUCCUGGAAUUUUCCAGCCAUUUCAGAGGGGAAAAAAAAGAAAAAAAUCAACAAAAAAUCCCAAAUCCAAGAGGUUUCAGAGCAAAAUUCCAGCUUUUCCAAAGGAAUUUUUUUGGGGAAUUCCUCAAAAAAUCUUCUGGAUCGGGAAUUCCCAAGCCUGGCUGGGGUGGGAAUGGAAAAUUCCAGAAAAAAAAUGGGAAUUUUUUUGAUGGGAAAGAAGAAAUUUGUAGCUCCCUCGGAGGAUUUUCACCCUUUGGAGAAAAGGAGGAAGGAAAAAUCUGGGAAUUCUCAACAUUCCCCCUCGUCUGCAGGUCAGAAAAAUCCGGAAUUCUGGGAAUUCCUUGGAAAACUGAGAUUUCCAUGGAAAAUCCCUUCCCAUCAACUCCUUCCCAAGGCUUUGCUGGAGGGAAAAAUGGGAAUUUUCAGGAUUUAAACCACCCAAAUCCUGAAUUUUUUGGGGGAUCAUUCCUUCUGGAAAAAUGUGGAAUCCUCUGGAUUUAUCCCGAUUUUCCCAUAUUUUUUCUUUUCAUUCAUGGCUCUGUGGAACCCUCAGGAAAAUCCAGGAGAAGCUUCCUCAGGGAACUGGGAAAUUCCCAAAAAUUCCCCAAAUUUUCCACGAAAACAUUCCCAAGAAAUCAACAGGAAAAACCCCCAAGCGUGGUCGGCACCUCCAGGAGUGUCCAAGUCUCUGAAUUCCCAAAAAAUUCCUAAAAAAUGGCAAAAUUUGGGAUAUUCCGGUUGGGGAAUCUUCUGGAUAUUCCCAAAUAUUCCCAAAUAUUCCCGAAUUUCAGUAAAUUUUCUGCCUGCUGGGCAGGAUGGCUUCCUUGAUGAAGGAGAAAAUCAGGAGAAUCCCGGAGCGUUUCCCUCUUUUCCCCUUGGUGAAAUAAUUGGAGACG